GGAACUUAGUCUUUCAUGUCUGCCUGAUCCCAGAGCGUCACAGCUUUAGCCGUUUUGCUGUGUUUGCUCUUUAAACAGGGUUUUACUGUGUAGCCCAGGGUGGCCCCCAACAGGAGUGAUCCAAUUUCCGUUCCUAUGUAGGUUGGCAGUAUCUGUGGAAGGAACAAAGCCCAACUCAGUUGAUGCAGAAUUCUACUGCCAGGAUCGAGGUGGAGCCUGGACAGCCUCCUGUCAGCCGGCCUGGGACAGACAGUCAGAGAGCACAGCGUGGAAGACCAACGGGCCAGAGGCACACCUGUGUUGUUGGAGGUCCAGCCCAGGAGACAGAAAGGGAAAAGGAAAGAAAGGAUUUCUGCAAGACACUGAGCCAGGAUUAGGGGAUGAAGGCGUUUAGAUGGAAACCCAAGAUUGAGUCAAUAUUACGGAGAAGAUCCACCUCUUAGCAGCAUCCCAGGACACUUGGAUAGCCUGUCCUUGGUUCUCAGCUUUUAUCACCAACUGCGACCUCUUCUGUGGACAGGACAUACCCUGCAGUCUUAUCACUUUCUGAAAGGCAUGGAUUGCGCCCUGUUCCUGAAGUUCUGAAGUUAUCGCUACAGCUAACCGGUUUGUCCUUCGCUUUCUGCUGAGAAAGCAUGCCCUGCGUGAAAUGAUGCAGUUUAAAUAAACUAAGUUUCCCUAGUCA
ensembl:lncRNA